rnacentral:rRNA from 1 species
AGAACGAACGCUGGCGGCAGGCCUAACACAUGCAAGUCGGACGCCGUAGCAAUACGGAGUGGCAGACGGGUGAGUAACGCGUGGGAACAUACCCCUCGGUUCGGAAUAACUCAGGGAAACUUGAGCUAAUACCGGAUACGUCCGAGGUUUUAAUCGACCUUGGAGAAAGAUUUAUCGCCGGAGGAUUGGCCCGCGUCUGAUUAGCUUGUUGGUGAGGUAAUGGCUCACCAAGGCGACGAUCAGUAGCUGGUCUGAGAGGAUGAUCAGCCACAUUGGGACUGAGACACGGCCCAAACUCCUACGGGAGGCAGCAGUGGGGAAUAUUGGACAAUGGGCGAAAGCCUGAUCCAGCCAUGCCGCGUGAGUGAUGAAGGCCUUAGGGUGUAAAGCUCUUUACCGGGAAGAUAAUGACGGUACCGGGAGAAUAAGCCCCGGCUAACUUCGUGCCAGCAGCCGC